GUUAACAAAAAACUUCCGUUGCCAAGGAAAUUCCAAAAUGUACUUUUGCUUAUUCUUCUAAGAAGUACAUAGAAAAGUUUGUCACCUCCAAGUGACCAUUUAAUGUAAUAGUUGCUAUGGAGAUAAACCAACGGAAAAGCCGUAAUUUUGAAAAAACUUGUUUUUUCUUUUUAGUUUGUGGUUAUAGGAGCAGAAGGGGAGUGGAGGGUACCAGCCGCUCAGACAGAGAGAACGGGUCAAAAGGGAGCGGCGAGGGCGGCUAUCUUCUACUGGAAAGAAUGUACCUGAAAUCACAGUCUAAAGAUAUACUGGACUUCACCAAAAAUCUGUUCUUUUAGAAUCUUCUGAGGGGUUAGAUUUUACUCUGUCGCAGGGUUAAAACCCCAAUCAAAAACAGAACAGCACUCCACCGACAUCCCUGUGAUUACUGAAGAGAUUCAAGCCCUCCCUCUCCUCAUCACAAACCACUGAUUUGUGGUCCUUCGCGCUCACUUUCAAGAGAGACCCGGCAUCCCAGCUCUCCUCUCCUCACAUCCGCAUCCCCUCCUCCGAGCCCUGCGACAGACUUCAGAGCAAACGGGCAGGAAAUAGAGCAGAGAGACGCAUCAGCCCAGCAUGGGCCUAGAACCAGACCAACACUCUGCAGACUGCAUCUGCCCUCGUACAGAAGAACCAUCAGGGAGCCGCAUCUCAUUUUGAACUUAUGGGCUCAAAAAAGCUCUGACCACUGAUGACUAUGUCCAUCAUAUGGUGGUUUAAUGUGUGCAUAAAAAUGUUUACGUUA